rnacentral:tRNA from 1 species
GCGGGUAUAACUCAGUUGGUAGAGUGUCAGCUUCCCAAGCUGGAUGUCGUCGGUUCGAACCCGAUUGCCCGCU